CGUCAAUAAAACAGCCCACUUUUUCAACAUUUUGUUAUGGCAAGAAAGCUGGCAUAUCAAUCUGGAAAUUUUCAUUUUUCUUGCCUAUAGUUUCAGUCUGCAAACAUCUCAAUAACCGGAGAAGCUGAAUUCAUUUUGUUAACCAGACAAAAAUCAUUUGUGCAAUUGCUACGAAAGGACAUCAUAGGUAAGCGACAUAGCUCGAUAAUUACCGCUUCACUUGAGCAGGCCCAAAAUCUCUAUUUACAAAAUUGUUUGAAUAUAAAUCUUUCUCAAAGAGUUUCCUCUUAAUAGUAUUAUUUUAAUGUUAAUAUAUUUUUAAACUUCCAUUACGCUAGAUAUUCCGUACCAUGAAAAAUUGAAGUUGCAAACCAGCCUUAAGUUCAGUUAUUUCAAGUUUAGGAAAUCUCAGACUAACUUGAUGGAUUGCUUUCUUAAGAUGGCGUCGAUUUCGGCUAGAGUUGGAUGCUCGCAAGAAAGUUCAAUUUCAUUAGUAACCUCCAUGUGUGGACAACUUGAUGGAUUGCUGCUAGAUGGCGUCGAUUUUUUCAGACUAACUUUAAGGGCCUGUUCAUAUGGGCAGAAGUUAUCCCAGUUAGCGAGAAAACUUUUCGACAAGUUUACGAGCGAGAUCUCGCCUUGUUACGAAAAUAUGAAAAGUUACAUUGCGUUCAUAUGAGACGAAAAGUUUUCCCGUGUACCGAGAUCUCGAUUGUUGACAGGCGAGACCUCG